GUGAGUGAUGAAGGCCUUAGGGUCGUAAAGCUCUUUCGCCAGGGAUGAUAAUGACAGUACCUGGUAAAGAAGCCCCGGCUAACUUCGUGCCAGCAGCCGCGGUAAUACGAAGGGGGCUAGCGUUGUUCGGAAUCACUGGGCGUAAAGCGCACGUAGGCGGACUUUUAAGUCAGGGGUGAAAUCCCGGGGCUCAACCCCGGAACUGCCUUUGAUACUGUCAAUCUAGAGGUCGAGAGAGGUGAGUGGAAUUCCGAGUGUAGAGGUGAAAUUC
rnacentral:rRNA from 1 species